rnacentral:rRNA from 1 species
GCCUACGGGGCGCAGCAGUGAGGAAUAUUGGUCAAUGGUCGGGAGACUGAACCAGCCAAGCCACGUGAGGGAGGAAGGUACAGAGUAUCGUAAACCUCUUUUGUCAGGGAACAAAGGCGGGGACGUGUCCCUGGAUGAGUGUACCUGAAGAAAAAGCAUCGGCUAACUCCGUGCCAGCAGCCGCGGUAAUACGGAGGAUGCGGGCGUUAUCCGGAUUUAUUGGGUUUAAAGGGUGCGCAGGCGGUCUGUUAAGUCAGCGGUCAAAGCCCGGGGCUCAACCCCGGCCCGCCGUUGCAACUGGCAGU